rnacentral:rRNA from 1 species
CCUAGAGAUAGGGUUUCCCUUCGGGGCAGGGGUGACAGGUGGUGCAUGGUUGUCGUCAGCUCGUGUCGUGAGAUGUUGGGUUAAGUCCCGCAACGAGCGCAACCCUUGUCAUUAGUUGCUACGCAAGAGCACUCUAAUGAGACUGCCGUUGACAAAACGGAGGAAGGUGGGGACGACGUCAAAUCAUCAUGCCCCUUAUGACCUGGGCUACACACGUACUACAAUGGCCAUUAACAGAGAGAAGCAAGAUCGCGAGAUGGAGCCAAACUCCAAAAAUGGUCCCAGUUCGGAUUGCAGGCUGAAACUCGCCUGCAUGAAGUUGGAAUUGCUAGUAAUCGCGGAUCAGCAUGCCGCGGUGAAUACGUUCCCGGGCCUUGUACACACCGCCCGUCACACCAUGGGAGCCGGUAAUACCCGAAGCCAGUAGUCUAACCGCAAGGGGGACGCUGUCGAAGGUAGGAUUGGCGACUGGGGUGAAGUCGUAACAAGGUAGCCGUAUCGGAAGGUG